rnacentral:lncRNA from 1 species
GGGUAUCAAAUGUAUAUGCACAUUUCUGAAUGGAUUGGGAAAAGAAGAUAGAAGGAGCAAAAAAAAAAAAAAAGAAAAAAGUCAUUCUUUUCCUGGAAAGCUCUGUUGUUUAAUCCUUUUCUUGGAGUAAAAAAAAUUCCAGCUCUACUGUAGGGAACAUAACACAGCUUCUCUUUGAUGUCACCACUCACCCCAUGGCCAGUAUCACUUCUCGUUCCCCCCCACCCCCAGAUUCAAAACCCUUAUGUUUGGGCUUCUCUGGUGAUCACGUUAAAUGUUUAAAUCUCCCGCGAAUAUAUAUUAUAGUCUAAACAACCAAAAAGAAGACAGAGGGGAAGGAAGAGGAGAGAGAGGAGAAAGACAGCGAUAUUGUUGAAUGCUUUGAAAGGAGGAUGGUUAAUGAGACUUACACUUUAGUUUGGAGCCAAAUCAUUUUCUUCAAAGAGAGAAGGUCACAGCAACUCCUGACAGGAGCGAGCAGGAGCAGAAACCUGAGCUCUGCUCUCCAGCUGGUGGUGUUACCACCCAUUCGUGGUUCCUGAGAGAGAACAGGGAGGUGAGCCAGGCCUUAACACCCUGUGUUGCAUUGACAAGCAUGGACCUGGCCUUUCAGACCAAGCUUCCAUGCCUACCAGCACUGGACUGAGCCACUUCUUCAUCCAGCCAGCAAAUCAAUGCAAACCCAAGGAUCCAUCUGAUAAAGUUGCAGAGGCAUCUUGGAUUUACAACACCCCCUGCCAGCCCCUCACUGAACCACACAUCAUCUGCAGCAGGAGGCGUUGGAUUACAUUUGGCUGGAGCGCCCGCAUCAACUCCAG